UACGUAGGUGGCAAGCGUUGUCCGGAUUUACUGGGCGUAAAGGGAGCGUAGGCGGCCUUUUAAGUGAGAUGUGAAAUACCCGGGCUCAACUUGGGAGCUGCCUUUCAAACUGGAAGGCUAGAGUAUAGGAGAGGUUGGGGGAAUUCCUAGUGUAGCGGUGAAAUGCGUAGAUAUUCGGAAGAACACCAGUGGCGAAGGCGGCCAACUGGCGUAUUUCUGACGCUGAGGUGCGAAAGCGUGGGGAGCAAACAGG
rnacentral:rRNA from 1 species